AAAUUAUCUAACAAUGAAGGUAUACUGGCUCGACAAGAACAAGAGAGAUUCUACGUGGUUUAUCGUUUAUACAACAGGUUCCUCUAACCAGACUAAAGUACCGCCAGGUUCUUUGAAUUUCAAACAAAUUAGUUAUAAAUACUCAAGCCAUCCUUCGCUAUUAUUUUCCAGUGUAACAGGGUAUCUAAUCCUGGUUCAUAUCUGAAACUUCUUGGCUUCAACCUAAGUCUACCCCCUACAAGAACUCAAUUACUUAGCCUAAUAAACAAAUUUCACCUCUUAUUAUUUUAAGCACUAAAUAAGGAAGACUCAUUUUCAUCUAACCGAUGACUUAUACUUCUUCACUGGACCUUCAAGUCUAACCGCGGAUGCUGGCACAAGUUUUAACCUGGCCUAAGUGGUGUUUACUUAAUCCAACUUUUGUUGAUUUUUAAAUUUUUAGUACUGCUUUAAUUUUUUCGUCAUAUAUUUCACUCCGAUCUAUCUAUUCGCUCUCAUAUCAAAUAAGAACAAGUUUUUUGUUUACUACCAGAAUUUGCAUGUACUUUCCA
rnacentral:rRNA from 1 species